rnacentral:rRNA from 1 species
GGCGUACUUGAGUGCUGGUGAUGGAUAUCAAGAUAACUUUCUUAAAAUUAAAAAUUGAAAUUUUUUUAAUUUGUGUAAAAACAAUUAUAUAAAUUAAAGACAAGAAGACCCUAAGAAUUUUUAAAAUUUAAAUUAACACAUUUUUGUUUUAAUUAAAUUUUAACUGGGGCGGUUAAAAAAUAUUAAAAACUUUUUAAUUUUGAAAAUGACCCAUUAUUAAUGAAAAUAUGAUAAAAUACUCUAGGGAUAACAGCGUUAUAUUUUUUGAUAGAUCGUAUUGACAAAAAAGUUUGCGACCUCGAUGUUGGAUUAGGAUACUUUUUUAAUGAAGAUAUUAAAAUAAGAAGUUUGUUCAACUUUUAAAUCACACUGUCUAGGUGGGUGGUGGCCACAGCGGGGGCAGUAGCGGGCGCGGGGCCUGCACAGCCCCCUCCUGGACCGUGGGGGGCCCCCUUGAAAAA